rnacentral:rRNA from 1 species
AAUAAAAAUAUCUUUAGUUGGGGCAACUACGAAGAAAAAAAAACCUUCGUAAUAAAAAAAAAUAAACAAAUUUAAAAUUUAAAAAAAGAGAUCCGGAAUAUACCGAACAAAGAAAAAAGUUACCGCAGGGAUAACAGCGUUAUUCUCUUUAAGAGUUCGUAUUGAAAAGAGAGUUUGCGACCUCGAUGUUGGACCGGGGCACCCAAGGGAUGCAGCAGUCCCUAAAGGUAGGUCUGUUCGACCUUUAAAGCCCUACGUGAUCUGAGUUCAGACCGACGUAAGUCAGGUCAGUUUCUAUCUA